GACGAACGCUGGCGGCGCGCCUAACACAUGCAAGUCGAACGAGCGAGAGAGAGCUUGCUUUCUCGAGCGAGUGGCGAACGGGUGAGUAACGCGUGAGGAACCUGCCUCAAAGAGGGGGACAACAGUUGGAAACGACUGCUAAUACCGCAUAAGCCCACGGCUCGGCAUCGAGCAGGGGGAAAAGGAGCAAUCCGCUUUGAGAUGGCCUCGCGUCCGAUUAGCUAGUUGGUGAGGUAACGGCCCACCAAGGCGACGAUCGGUAGCCGGACUGAGAGGUUGAACGGCCACAUUGGGACUGAGACACGGCCCAGACUCCUACGGGAGGCAGCAGUGGGGAAUAUUGCACAAUGGGGGAAACCCUGAUGCAGCGACGCCGCGUGGAGGAAGAAGGUCUUCGGAUUGUAAACUCCUGUUGUUGGGGAAGAUAAUGACGGUACCCAACAAGGAAGUGACGGCUAACUACGUGCCAGCAGCCGCGGUAAAACGUAGGUCACAAGCGUUGUCCGGAAUUACUGGGUGUAAAGGGAGCGCAGGCGGGAAGACAAGUUGGAAGUGAAAUCUAUGGGCUCAACCCAUAAACUGCUUUCAAAACUGUUUUUCUUGAGUAGUGCAGAGGUAGGCGGAAUUCCCGGUGUAGCGGUGGAAUGCGUAGAUAUCGGGAGGAACACCAGUGGCGAAGGCGGCCUACUGGGCACCAACUGACGCUGAGGCUCGAAAGUGUGGGUAGC
rnacentral:rRNA from 1 species